UGCUGUGAUGAUGUAAUUUGCGCCGGAUUGGUGUUGCAUGGUGACAGUUGCCUGCUGUCAUAGAACCAUCUCUCCAUUUUGAAGACAAAUACAUGACUGAGCA
rfam:Lingula anatina scaffold2772, whole genome shotgun sequence.